rnacentral:rRNA from 1 species
CAGCAGUAGCCGCGGUAAUACGGAGGGUGCAAGCGUUAAUCGGAAUUACUGGGCGUAAAGCGCACGCAGGCGGUUUGUUAAGUCAGAUGUGAAAUCCCCGGGCUCAACCUGGGAACUGCAUCUGAUACUGGCAAGCUUGAGUCUCGUAGAGGGGGGUAGAAUUCCAGGUGUAGCGGUGAAAUGCGUAGAGAUCUGGAGGAAUACCGGUGGCGAAGGCGGCCCCCUGGACGAAGACUGACGCUCAGGUGCGAAAGCGUGGGGAGCAAACAGGAUUAGAUACCCGCGUAGUCCCUGUCUCUUAUAA